rnacentral:rRNA from 1 species
CCUACGGGCGGCAGCAGUGAGGAAUAUUGGUCAAUGGGCGCGAGCCUGAACCAGCCAAGUAGCGUGAAGGAUGACUGCCCUACGGGUUGUAAACUUCUUUUAUAAAGGAAUAAAGUGAGGCACGUGUGCCUUUUUGUAUGUACUUUAUGAAUAAGGAUCGGCUAACUCCGUGCCAGCAGCCGCGGUAAUACGGAGGAUCCGAGCGUUAUCCGGAUUUAUUGGGUUUAAAGGUAGCGUAGAUGGGUAGUUAAGUCAGUUGUGAAAGGUUGCGGCUCAACCAUAAAAUUGCAAUUGAUACUGGUAGUCUUGAGUAUAGUUGAGGUAGGCGGAAUUCGUGGUGUAGCGGUGAAAUGCAUAGAUAUCACGAAGAACUCCGAUUGCGAAGGCAGCUUACUAAACUGCAACUGACAUUGAUGCUCGAAAGCGUGGGUAUCAAACAGGAUUAGAUACCCCUGUAGUC